UACGUAGGGUGCAGGCGUUAAUCGGAAUUACUGGGCGUAAAGCGUGCGCAGGCGGUUUGCUAAGACAGGUGUGAAAUCCCCGGGCUUAACCUGGGAACUGCGCUUGUAACUGGCAAGCUAGAGUGUGGCAGAGGGGGGUGGAAUUCCACGUGUAGCAGUGAAAUGCGUAGAUAUCGAGAGGAACACCGGUGGCGAAGGCGAGUCCCUGGACAACACCUGACACUGAGGCACGAAAGCUAGGGGAGCAAACAGG
rnacentral:rRNA from 1 species